rnacentral:rRNA from 1 species
AAUCGAACCUCCUAGUAGCUGGUUUCCGCCGAAAUUUCCCUCAGGAUAGCGGCCAUCGCGGAAACGUUUUGACCGGUAGAGCGAACGACUAGAGGUACCGGGGCCGUAACGGCCUCGACCUAUUCUCGAACUCCGAACGGGCAAGGAGCCGGGGUCGCCCGAUCGGACCCCGGACGUGAAGUCGACGAUGGUCGGUGGGCUGGUUUUGGUAAGCAGAACGGGCGAUUCGGGAUGAACCGGAAGCGGGGAGAAAGGGCCCGAGAUUGCGUCGACGCGGAUCCCGAAAAGGGCGUCGAUCCGUCGCGACAGCGGGACGGUGGUCAUGGAAGUCGAAAUCCGCUAAGAAGCGUGUAAAAACGUACCCGCCCAAACGGAUCGGCCCCGAAAAUUGAUGGCGCUCGAACGCAACCCUCGAACCCCGCCGACGGAGGCUAGGGGAGGCCCCGUCGAGUAGGCGGACGCGCGGGUCGCUUCGACGCUCCCGCGCGAGCGGGGGCGGAGCGGCCCGUGGUGCAGAUCUGGUGGUAGUAG